AAAUUGAAGAGUUUGAUCAUGGCUCAGAUUGAACGCUGGCGGCAGGCCUAACACAUGCAAGUCGAACGGUAACAGGAAGCAGCUUGCUGCUUUGCUGACGAGUGGCGGACGGGUGAGUAAUGUCUGGGAAACUGCCUGAUGGAGGGGGAUAACUACUGGAAACGGUGGCUAAUACCGCAUAAUGUCGCAAGACCAAAGAGGGGGACCUUCGGGCCUCUUGCCAUCAGAUGUGCCCAGAUGGGAUUAGCUUGUUGGUGAGGUAACGGCUCACCAAGGCGACGAUCCCUAGCUGGUCUGAGAGGAUGACCAGCCACACUGGAACUGAGACACGGUCCAGACUCCUACGGGAGGCAGCAGUGGGGAAUAUUGCACAAUGGGCGCAAGCCUGAUGCAGCCAUGCCGCGUGUAUGAAGAAGGCCUUCGGGUUGUAAAGUACUUUCAGCGGGGAGGAAGGUGUUGUGGUUAAUAACCACAGCAAUUGACGUUACCCGCAGAAGAAGCACCGGCUAACUCCGUGCCAGCAGCCGCGGUAAUACGGAGGGUGCAAGCGUUAAUCGGAAUUACUGGGCGUAAAGCGCACGCAGGCGGUCUGUCAAGUCGGAUGUGAAAUCCCCGGGCUCAACCUGGGAACUGCAUUCGAAACUGGCAGGCUUGAGUCUUGUAGAGGGGGGUAGAAUUCCAGGUGUAGCGGUGAAAUGCGUAGAGAUCUGGAGGAAUACCGGUGGCGAAGGCGGCCCCCUGGACAAAGACUGACGCUCAGGUGCGAAAGCGUGGGGAGCAAACAGGAUUAGAUACCCUGGUAGUCCACGCCGUAAACGAUGUCUACUUGGAGGUUGUGCCCUUGAGGCGUGGCUUCCGGAGCUAACGCGUUAAGUAGACCGCCUGGGGAGUACGGCCGCAAGGUUAAAACUCAAAUGAAUUGACGGGGGCCCGCACAAGCGGUGGAGCAUGUGGUUUAAUUCGAUGCAACGCGAAGAACCUUACCUGGUCUUGACAUCCACGGAAGUUUUCAGAGAUGAGAAUGUGCCUUCGGGAACCGUGAGACAGGUGCUGCAUGGCUGUCGUCAGCUCGUGUUGUGAAAUGUUGGGUUAAGUCCCGCAACGAGCGCAACCCUUAUCCUUUGUUGCCAGCGGUCCGGCCGGGAACUCAAAGGAGACUGCCAGUGAUAAACUGGAGGAAGGUGGGGAUGACGUCAAGUCAUCAUGGCCCUUACGACCAGGGCUACACACGUGCUACAAUGGCGCAUACAAAGAGAAGCGACCUCGCGAGAGCAAGCGGACCUCAUAAAGUGCGUCGUAGUCCGGAUUGGAGUCUGCAACUCGACUCCAUGAAGUCGGAAUCGCUAGUAAUCGUGGAUCAGAAUGCCACGGUGAAUACGUUCCCGGGCCUUGUACACACCGCCCGUCACACCAUGGGAGUGGGUUGCAAAAGAAGUAGGUAGCUUAACCUUCGGGAGGGCGCUUACCACUUUGUGAUUCAUGACUGGGGUGAAGUCGUAACAAGGUAACCGUAGGGGAACCUGCGGUUGGAUCACCUCCUUA
rnacentral:rRNA from 1 species